rnacentral:rRNA from 1 species
UACAGAGGGUGUGAGCGUUGUCCGGAAUCACUGGGCGUAAAGGGCGCGUAGGUGGCGACCCAAGUCGAUGGUGAAAGCUCGCCGCUCAACGGCGAGUCGGCCACCGAUACUGGGUUGCUCGAGCACUGUAGAGGCUAAUGGAAUUCCGGGUGUAGCGGUGGAAUGCGUAGAGAUCCGGAAGAACACCGGUGGCGAAGGCGGUUAGCUGGGCAGUUGCUGACACUGAGGCGCGACAGCGUGGGGAGCAAACAGG